rnacentral:rRNA from 1 species
AACGAACGCUGGCGGCAGGCCUAACACAUGCAAGUCGAGCGAUCGCAGCAAUGCGGGAGCGGCAGACGGGUGAGUAACACGUGGGAACGUACCCUUCGGUUCGGAAUAACUCAGGGAAACUUGAGCUAAUACCGGAUACGUCCGAGAGGAGAAAGAUUUAUCGCCGAAGGAUCGGCCCGCGUCUGAUUAGCGAGUUGGUGAGGUAACGGCUCACCAAGGCGACGAUCAGUAGCUGGUCUGAGAGGAUGAUCAGCCACACUGGGACUGAGACACGGCCCAGACGCCUACGGGAGGCAGCAGUGGGGAAUAUUGGACAAUGGGCGCAAGCCUGUUACAGCCAUGCCGCGUGAGUGAUGAAGGCCUUAGGGUUGUAAAGCUCUUUUACCCGGGAAGAUAAUGACGGUACCGGGAGAAUAAGCCCCGGCUAACUUCGUGCCAGCCGCCGCGGUAA